CUCCCUUUUCAAUGCAAAUCUCCAUAGCCCCACAGGACGCAAUUACGACUGGACACAAUUACGAACGAUUUCCAAUGUUUGCCCUCUAAGAUCAUAUUUGUUUAUAUUUAUCAAUAAAUGUUUUUAUAAAUAAAAACCCUAUUAAAAAUCCCGUUUUCAUGAUAAUGCAAUUUAUGUGCACUUGGUGAAUGUUGAUGACGAUGACAAAAUCAUUCUGAAAAUAUUAUAAGAACGGCAAUCUGACCUGGAAGUUAUAUAAAAAAAAUACAUAAAGGUAAGUGCAUAUUGCCUUCUUUUGUUAAUAUAUAGAAAGAAAAAUAUCUCCUGAUUCUGUUCAUAUGCGUGAUGCCUUUUAUCAUGCCCAAAUAACCCCUCAAUUGACGUUUUUUAGACUCUUGUGAACCUAUUUAUGGCCAAAAGAAAAUAUGUUAAUUUUAUUGAAAAGUCCAGAGAACUCCGAAAGAAAUGUUGACCAAUAUAAAAAAAAAAUCAUAGAUGAAUGAUAAGUACACCACCGA
rnacentral:lncRNA from 1 species